GGGGAAUAGUCGAGGCUCACAAGGACCCAGAACCUCUCCACAGAGCAUAGGUCAGGACUGAGAUCCCAGGGUCACAGCAGAAGGCUGGGCGAAGAGCCCAGAGCACAGGGGCAGCCUGGAGGCUCCGACUGGCUGAGGAUGGUGACUGCGAACAUCAACAGAGGGCGAGUUGUCACUGAACAUUUCAGAUACACUGAAACCCACAAGUUCACAAGGGAACUCAAACAGAACUGAAAAGCAUCUCAUGACUAGGCGAUUAGCCUCAGAUCGCUUCUCUGGCCCACCUGCUGUGUGAAGGUGCCCACCGGUCUGGGAACACCCAUCGCCUGCUGAUAUAAAUCACUCCUCAGCCAGCUUCCCAACAGACACGGACGACUUGGGAAACCAUAAAAUGGGAGACAGGGCCAGGACAAGG
ensembl:lncRNA